rnacentral:lncRNA from 1 species
GAAAAGUGCCUAGCCGACCAGUGGAAGAACCAGUGCGACUGUUACCCCAAACUCUACUCAAUGAAGCACGUUCUGAAAGGAAACCUAUGCGAAUACCUGGCCCACUUGAAGUGCAACGACUACAUGAAGACGAUGAACUGGCUACCUUACUGCCAGAACCAAUGUACCAGGCCGUGCAGAGAGGUGCGUUACAAGUCCUACAGCUUCCAGACAGGGAGUGUAAAGGAUUACAUUCAGUAUGA